UUCUUCUGUUCUAUUUUCUCACAGAGACCAAAAGUGGGAAGCAAUAUACAUUUAACCAGUUGAGAACAAAGUGUAAUGCACAAAUUCUAUAAAAUAAUAUAUUCGUUCCAAUUAUAUUUUACUCCUACCAGCUAUGUUCAAGUCCUUCAAAGCCUUCUUCUGAAUAGCCAAAAAUAAGUCAUAAGCACGCCUUUCAAAAAUAUCAUUUACACGUGUUUCUCAACACCUUUAAUAAUAGCCAGAAAAGCCAUAAGCAUGACUUCCAUGCAUAACACUUGCAUGGUUCUCUUAACCCCCUUAAUGAUGCUCAUGUUGUACCAGCUCAUAUCUACUUGGUAGCUGAAUGUUAAGAGUGUAUUGGGUGGAAAAAUAGAAGGUUUAAAGUUUAAACUGAGAACCAUUAAAGUGAAAGAGAAUAAAAGGGUAUAACCUAUAAAGGGAUCAAAAGCCAACUGAAAAUCAUUGUGGCCUUGCGGCAGUUUAUAUAUAACUAUGCACAAAUAAGCUUUAGUCCCUGCAACUAUUCCAUGUAUUUGUGGAGGGAAAGAGAGGAGGAUUUUGGGGGAGAAGGAUUUUCUCCACUGUAAAUGUUAUGUCAAAGUGGCUUAAUACUUCAAACUUUUUGUUUAGCAGGCAACAAUUUUUCUGGGCAUACAAAUUGCCUUUCACAUU
rnacentral:misc_RNA from 1 species